rnacentral:rRNA from 1 species
AAUUUUGGACAAUGGGGGAAACCCUGAUCCAGCCAUCCCGCGUGUGCGAUGAAGGCCUUCGGGUGGUAAAUCACUUUUGUCAGGGACGAAAAGGUUCUGGCUAAUAUCCGGUACUGAUGCCUGUACCUGAGCAAUAAGCACCGGCUAACUACGUGCCAGCAUCCGCGGUAAUACGUAGGGUGCAAGCGUUAAUCGGAAUUACUGGGCGUAAAGCGUGCGCAGGCGGUUCGGAAAGAAGGAUGUGAAAUACCAGGGCUCAACAUUGGAACUGCAUUCUUAACUACCGGAAUAGAGUAUGUCAGAGGGGGGUAGAAUUCCGCGUGUAGCAGUGAAAUGCGUAGAUAUGCGGAGGAAUACCGAUGGCGAAGACAGCCCCCUGGGAUAAUACUGACGCUCAUGCACGAAAGCGUGGGUAGCAAGCAGG